rnacentral:lncRNA from 1 species
AAAAAGCCAUUGUACUUUUUGAGGAAACAUACAUAAAUAUGGAAAUAGGUGUUUUUUGUUUUUCUUUUUUAUUUUGAAUUAUACUUUAAGUUCUGGGAUACAUGUGCAGAAUGUGCAGGUUUGUUACAUAGGUAUACACGUGCCAUGGUGGUUUGCUGCACCCAUCAACCCAUCAUCUAAAUUAGGUAUUUCCCCUAAUGCUCUCCCUCCCUUAGCCCCUCAUCCCCCGACAGGUCCCGGUAUGUAAUGUUCCCCUCCCUGUGUCCACGUGUUCUCAUUGUUCAACUCCCACUUGUAAGUGAGAACAUGCAGUGUUUGGUUUUCUGUUCCUGUGUUAACUUUGCUGAGAAUGAUGGUUUCCAGAUUCAUCAAUGUCCCUGAAAAGGACAUGAACUCAUCCCUUUUUAUGGUUCCAUGGUGUAUAUGUGCCACAUUUUCUUUACCUUGUCUAUCACUGAUGGGCAUUUGGGUUGGUUCCAAGUCUUUGCUAUUGUGAACACUGCUGUAAUAAACAUAUAUGUGUAUGUGUCUUAUAGUAGAAUGAUUUAUAAUCCUUUGGGUAUAUACCCAGUAACGGGAUUGCUGGUUCAAAUGGCGGAAAUAGGUGUUUUAACUCUCAUUUUUCUCAUUUAUCUAUAUUUAGAUUACAUCUGUUAAGCCAAAUAGUGUUAAAUAAUCACCACUAACCUCCAACCUCCUUGCUUAUAAAUUCACACCUACCUGUGCAGGAAAUGCUGCCUGCCAAGUCUGAAAUAAUACUUGAGGCUGCUGCAAAGUCCAACAUAAAAAUACUUAGCUAAUUAAAUAAAUAAAACUAUAUUCAUCAUAAUUGGGAAAAGGAAAAUAUGGAAAGCUGACCUGCCUAUAGUGCCUAUUUUUUACUAAAAAAAUAAAAACAAAAAACGAAACAAAUAAGCCAACAAAAAGCACAGAAGUGGCAGAAGAUAAGCUUUCAGUAAAAUUUUUAGAGGAAAUCUGUGAACCAGCAGAAAUUUGCAUCCCAUUGGCAAAGGGGUCCACAUGGGACCCUGAGGACCCAAGGUUAGAAUUCACAGGAAUUGUGGGGAGAGCUCUGGGCUCAUAUAGUCCAUGAGACUGAAGGCUUGAGCCAUGUUUCCCUAAAUAUUCGGGAUCUAAAGCAGCCCCAAGUGACAUCUGAGCAGCCCCAGAACACUGGACCAGCAGAUAAACUGGCCCCCAAUGCAAAAUGCAGUAUUUUGAGUCUAAUAGUGGGUCUAAGUCCACCCUCAUCUUGACUAUGAGACCAGGGAACCUACAGCUCAAGGAAGAAAGAUGACUGUUUCUGCACUGGCCAUGUUGUUGCUUGGGCCAGGGGAGAGGGUUGACAGAACCCUGAGGUUCACAUGGAAAUGUGUGGAGUAACACACAGGUCAGGCAGGUAGAGAGAGCAACACAUACAAAGCAUUCUGUGGUGUCUUAGCCAGGGCAUUGCAUGACAAGGAAUAAACUCAUCAACCCACCAACCAGAGGAAAUCCUGGCCAUGGGUGAUUACUGCAGCUUCUUAAGUGACACACAAUCCUGAAAAAGGAACAAAAAACUUUGAUCAUUGAGAAGGGCCUUUCUCCUGAUUCACCUGCUGGGGCAGACUCCCCAGAGCCUGGUAUCCUCCUAAGGAGUAACUGCCAGGCAAGCUGGGAUCCACUGGCCACAGCCACAUGGAUGUGAGCCAACAUAUGGCAUCUGCGAGAAGGCACAGCCAGAUUGAAGAGGAGGAUUCUGAGCUGCUGAAAUGUUCCCAAGGAGUCAGGCCUCAGACGUGGAGAAGCAAUGGUGAUAAAUAGAAAAAUUGCAUGGUCCAGAAUUGAAAAUUAUACAAGGUCAAAAAGUCAUAACUCUCCCUGUCUCCAGGCAACAAUAUCCAACAGCACACAAGCAUUCAGGAAUGUGCACAGUGUUGUGAUCUAUGUGGCAGGUUUCUGAGUACACAGCACCAGGAAGAAGAAGAGACCUCGAGGUGUAAAACAUCCUGAGAUUUUGGCAGUAAGCUGCAUGCCAACUCCUCCUGCUUGCAAUUUGGAAGACCAGGUCCCACUGGAGCAAGGUGAUGAGAAAACAACUGCCAGCAAGACAUCCCUAGAGAAACUAAGCCCAUGCAAGAAUUGCUGAUUCUUGCUCAUUUAGGAAGACAGAUGGAAGGUGAUGGUCAUCUGCUGUCCCCAGGAGACAAGCCUCUCAGAGGUCUGGAAGGUUCAGCUUACAUCCCCAGAGCCAAAGCUUAUGGAGAAGCCUGAACUCCCAACAGGGAGAAAUAAUUGUUAGGUUUCCCAUUCCAGUCAGAAGGGAUCUUCAGAGCAAGCCAGAGGCUCUGAAGAGACACUGCACCCAUCCCCCGGUGCAUGUGUGACCCUACAGGCAGCUAUUACAUGCGACCCAUUAGAGCCCAAGUACUGUGGAGAAAAGGCAAGAAAUACAAUAUUCCUCAAAGAUUUGGGGAGAUGAACUGCCCUCCAUUUAUUUUGCCUUCAACUCUUGAUGGACAACUUGGGGCAAAUUGCACCAAAAAGAAUUCCAGAAACUGAGGUCAGAGAAUGAAGAAAAGCCAGUUAGUACAGGUACUCCUUUCCAAUCCUAGCUCCUGGAAGAAGGGUCAGAAAUGGAUGGGCAAACCUGUAAACCCUGGCUCUGAGGGUGGAAGGAGUUGCCAAAGCCUCAGCCUGGAACUUCCAUGGCCCUCCUCGCCAUCUUCACACCCUCACUCAGCUCUUUCUGUAUCCCAGUUGCCUGAAAACUUCUGCUGACCACGAGUAGCCCAGCCUGACUGAGAAGCCCUGUAUAGAAGGGACAAGAUAUGUCCCCUACCUAGCCUGUACCAUGGAAACAGAUCCUCAAAUAAAGUCUCAUAAGAGCGUACUGCCCAUCACCUAUGGAGUAAGCAGUGUCAGGGGAGGUCAGUCUGGAGGCCACAGUUGGGCAUCAUUUCUUGUCUUUUCCUCAUCCAUCCCCUGGACAGAUCAUCUGCAUUGGGACCAUCACAAGAUAUCGGAAGAUGAGAAAAAAAAAAAGUUAUUCACUAGAAUUUCAGGAGAUUGUAUAAAAGGCAAAAUUGCCUAGCUUGGUUGAUCCCUGAAAAAAACUCAAAAAAAGUCGGAAAGAGGCCACUGUGUUGGGAGAAAGUAGAAGGAAUAGUUUUGGCUGGGUGUGGUGGCUCACGUCUGUAAUCCCAGCACUUUGGGAGGCUGAGGCAAGUGGAUCAUGAGGUCAGGAGUUCAAGACCAGCCUGGCCAACAUGAUGUAACUCCAUCUCUACUAAAAAUACAAAAAUUAGCUGGGCAUGGUGACGCAUGCCUAUAAUCCCAGCCAUUUGGGAGGCUGAGGCAGGAGAAUUGCUUGAACUAGGACCGGGGAGGCAGAGGUUGCAGUGAGCCAAGAUCGAGCCACUGCACUCCAGCUUGGGCUACAGAGCGAGACUUUGUCUCAAAAAAAAAAAAAAAAAAAAAAGAAGAAGAAGAAUGAAUAGUUUCCAUUUCCCAAGUGAAUGCUUAGGGUAUAGAAGGUCACCCACUGGGAUUUAAGUUAAAGGAGUCAGUGGACUGCAAGCAGGCAUGCAGGGAGCACACUGGAGGCUGAUGAUAAUCAGACAGUCAGCGGCAACCCUGCACCAUGACACCCUAAUGUCCUUCAUGAAGCCACUCAGCACACAUUGCUUGGCUGGAGCAGAUUUUCUCACCCAAAUGGCAGAUAUCUGAGCCCAGAUUAUCAUGGAGGUAGUAGUGAGAUGACAGUCACAGCCAAGGGAGUAGAGACAGGGGCAUCUCUGGAGAAACAAAGCAUUUUUCACAAGCUUUGAACCCCUGGGGUUGAGAGGUGAGCCAGAUUCAUCUAAACCUCCAAGAGCCAACGAGUCUUCUGAGUUUACGAGAUUAAAUUUAAAAACUGAAGACUAGGCUCUUCUAGUAGCUAACCUGCUGCCUAGCUCAGAAUAAGAAUCUAUUUGACUCUUCAUCCAUUUGUUAAGUGAGGGCUGACUUUUGGUUUCAAGCUUUAGGUACCUACUCUGUGCUUAGGAUUGUGCCAGGGACCAUGUCCCUGUUUCUAAGAGUUGUACAUUCCUUUGGAAGAGGCAUUGCCUGGGCGGCAAGAUGGGUGCUGCACCUUCAGGGGUUGCUUUGUUAGAGGUCCAUCCAGACAGUGCAUCUCUGGGGUUCUGGAGCCUAGGAUUCUGAUGCGUGUGUUGCUGUGUGUGUUGAGGAACUACGAGGAUCUUCUUUGUAUUGGACAUCUUAAUAAUCUUAUUUUAACACAGUUAUUUUCCUUUGUAAUCUUAUGUAUUUACUUCUUAUUGGGGUAUCAUUUAGAUACCAUAAAACGUGUGUAUGGGUUCAAUGAGUUUUGACCAUUGCAUAUACUCACACAACCACCACCCUCAACAGGAUACAGAGCAUUUCCAAACCUCAGAAAGUUUCCUCAAGUCAACUCCAAUCCAAAACUGAACCUCCAGUGUUCUGACUUCCAUCACAGUAGGUCGGUCCUGCCUGUUCUUGACUUCACCCACAUAUGUUUCCUGGGUGGCUUCUCUUGCUUGACACAGUGAUUCUGAGAUUUGAAGCACAAGGCGUGUAUGGAGUGUGUUCCUUGGGGUCUUGGAAGGAAGACUAUCUGGAACGUGUUAGGGGUGUUUAAUAAAGGGCUACAACGUUGUGAGCUGGGAAUAAGGAAUCCACAAGCCCCUCGGGGUGAGUCACAACCUGAAACCAGCAUGUUCUUCACCUGAAGAGGGGCAAGAGCAGCCACUGGAAGAGGAAAGACAGCUCCAUCAGGCCAGGAGGCCUUCAGUCAGGAACAGCCAGCCUGGGCAACCACACAGGGAAGAAGCCAAGAAUAAAUGCCCUGUCUCUCUCUCUCCUUUCGAUAUGCCCCACUGGCCCAGCGCAACUGGGAGCCAGAAGGUAGGAGACGCCGUUAAUUUCCUGCAAAGAGGCCAGCUGAGGUAGAGACCUGCAGGAAAGCAUCUGGAGCUGGAAGGAGAAGGUGUUGAGCACAUGCCCGUGUGUUCAUGAAAACCCAGAGUAUGGGUAAAGCCAUGGGGGUCUGACAGCAGGGAGGGGCACAGUUAAGGAAGUUCUAGAAAAUUAGCUUUCUUACCCUUCCCUCCUUCCUUCUUCUCACCCUUCCUUCCUGCCUUCCUCCUUUCCUCCCUCCCCCCAUUCUUUCCAUUCUUCCUUCCUUUUUUCUGCCUUCCUUCUUUCCUUCCUCUUUUCCUUCGUUUGAAAAUGGCUGCACCUGCUAUAGACAAUAAUUGUGUGUUUACUACUAUGUGUCAGAUACUCUGUUAGGAGCUUUACAUACUUAUAAAUAGUUAGUUUUAAUAUUGAAUAUUCUUCAAACACCUAUUUUGAAGGAAUGGCUAUACCAAUUCUACAGACAAAACCAGAGGUUCAGAAAGUUUACCUGUGGGACUAUAAGAUAAAUUUGCCGCCAUUCCCCCCAGAUUAAUAACCAAUGGAUACAAACAGCUAUUGUACCCAGGGGCCUGCGAGAAAUGAUACACAAUGAAUGCACCAGACUGGAGCGAUCAGGGAGCUGGUAGGAGGAUGGGGCCUCUGACCGAUGCUUGAAGGAGGGGGGAUGCCGUGUGCAGGGUGCAGAGGGCAUUCCAGGUGUGUGGACCGCAGCAGCAGAGGCACAGAGAGAGGGGGUGAGCUGCCAGCUUGGAAAAUGGAGACCAUCCACUUGGGGGUGAUGAAGGUUACUGAAAAGAAAAGGUAGUAAAGGAUUAAGGUAGAAAGGCAGUGAACCCUGAAAUUCUGAGAUUCAUACCAUAGACAGUAAGAAAACAGUAAAAAUUUUGAUCAAGGAAUUUGCAGAAUCAUAAUGGAUCUCCCAGAAAAUGUCUUGUGUCAGUGGGCAAAAUGGAUGAUCUGUAAUAGAGGCAAUUGGGAAGUUAUUGCAGUGAUCCAGGAGAGAGGUUCCGUCUAGAGUGGUGGCCACCACAAUGAAAAGAGACAGUCCUGAGACAGAUUGGGAGAAAAAAGCUCAGUAGGACCCAGCACCAGGGUGGACAGCAUGCUAGAAGAACAAUGAGUCGUGAGAAAACAACUGGAGAAUCCAAGCUGGGGGCAAGAUGAGUGCAGGGAGGAGAGGAGAGCUCAGCAGAGGGAAGAAGUUAAGGGCAGAACCAGAGCCAUGGAAAAGAGAGGCGCUAAAUUGGUUUGGACAAAUUGCACUGAGGCGCCCAGCAAGGUGUCCAGGGAGAGCUCUUCGGUAAGCUAUGUGGGAGGUGUUGGGGAGUCUGAUGGAGAGCUUGGCUUCAGACAAGUGCCUGGUCAAUGCUGGGAGCAGAGGAGAAAGCUGAGGGAGAAAGAGUAGGCAAGAGAAGGCAGACAAGGAUGAGAUCUCCUGGACGCUCUAUGCUCAGCUGUUCAGCCACCACUGUGCAAAGACCCAGGACAUAGCAAUGGUCAAAUUACUGUCUGGCUGGGUUUGUUUUCUUUGGGGAAAGGGGAGGAGGGAGAGGACAUUUCAGACGUAUAAUAAUAAUACUCCUUAAACCACAGGUGGCAUACUCACUUUCUUCAAGUCAGAAGUUGCCAAGGGCACUUUAUUUCUAGACCAUUCUUUUUAAAAAUCAAAUCAUCAGGAAUUGUGCUUCUGGGAAAUGCUGUUCCAAACACCUAUUAAAUAUGCAGCCAUACCGUUUGUUUUGCAUUUUUCUUAAGGGUAACAAUUAACCUUUAAAAAGUCUGACCUUUCCAAAGAGGUAGACCUGUUAUGGGGAGCUCUGAGGUGCUGGGUCAAUGUUUCAGAGAAUUGUUUGCUUCAUGAGCAUUGUAGACUUAGGGCUGCAGUGGUUUUCUUAUUCUGUAAUGCUGUGGCUCUGAAACGGUUCACUAGCAUGAUAUGUUUAAUUUGUGAAAUGAAGCCGUCAAUUGGAGUCACAGGGCUCAGUCCCCGGCACCCCGAGACAGGGGAAGGAAGCACAGCCAGCAGAACAGGCACUCACAUCUCACACACUCGGCAGGGAACACAUGCCCCACAGCAGAGCCUGACUUGAGAUUAUCCCUCAGCUUAUUCCUAACCACUAACCAGACGCUCAGCCCCAGCCCAGAUCCGCUGGAAACCAGCCUGGUCACCUCUUUUCCUACCACCAGGGGAAUCGGCCAGUCCUUGCAAUUCACCACCAAAGUGAUCUUUCUACUUGGAAAUAUUACCACGCCAUGACCCUGAUUAAACCUCCAGCAUCCCCGUGUUUAUCCAGGACACAGUCAGGACCCUGUGAUCUGGCCUCUACUCACUUCUUCAGCUUUAUCUGCCAUUCCUUAUUCUGCCCCCUCCCUUGUACACACAAACACAUAUUGUUCUUAAGAUAAACCAAAGUCCCCAUGGCUCCCUACACGCCUCCACUCAAUGGGCUCUCUGCACGCCCUGCUCCUGGAGAACCCUCCAAGUUCUCAUUGGCAAAUGCCUGCUUUUCCUUCCAAUUCAGCUCAGACAUUGCCUCCUUUGGAGUGCCAGCUGUGACCCAUUUCCAUUAGGUGGCUCUUUAUGUACCCAUAGCAUUUUACAGAUGCCUGUUUCCCAAAAGGGACUCUACUCUGUCCUAUUCAUCAUGUAAAGUGGUCCAAGCUCCCAUGGAACCACACACAGAGGAGAAUCUUAAGCAAUUUUGUGCAAUCGAUACAAGAAUAAAUGAAUGAUGAAAACUUUUCCUCCGACGGACAUACAUGAAAAGUACACAGGCACACUUUCCCCAGACAUUUCUGGAAAACAAAAACACCUCCAGUAUCAAUCUGAUUCCAACUAAUGCAUGAUGGUAUGCCCACAAAAGGUUAAACUGAAGAGACCCAGGGAAAAGGAAGGUUGACAGGAGCGUGUUGGAGAUGGAGUGAGCCACUUGUCAUUGGGCUGAAUUGUCAUAAUACACAUGAAAAGGCAGCUCUCAGCAAGCCUUGACCGCACACUAGAUGGGGGCCACAGAGAGAUGGGUGAGACAGAGGCCCCACUCUAAGGGAGCUUAGAGUCUAGUAGGGAAAGAGAGAAAGGCCAACAAUAAGGACCUCGAAGGGAGAAAAUGGCGCCAAAGAGAUAAGCAGUGGAUGGAUUUUAGGAGACUUCCCAUGGUGUGCUAAGGAGAUAAAUCUUAUACUCUAAGCAGGUGGGAGCCAUUCCUAGAGGAACAGUAAAAUCACUGAGCAGCACUACGUGUGGAGUGUGAGGAAAGAAAGCGAUGGGAGUCCUUGCUGGCACAAGCCUCAAUUAUGUACUCAGAUUAAAACUGAGAAAUAAUUCCACCUACGGGCCCAGCAGGGCUCCCAUGCACAGUGGGGGAUGCGUGCGGUCAGACAUCCCAGGGAAGCACAGAUGGGCUCUCACAGAGCCUGUCAGGUGAGAAGCAAACACGUGGCUCUGGAGAGAGGUCUGUGGUCAGAGGUGUGCUGCGUGGCAGCAGGGAGACACCGCCCGUGGUCAGUGAAGCUCUGUCAAGGUGCACGUUGGACAAAAAUUCCCUCCACUCACUGACCUAGAAAGUAUGCAAGAAAACAAAUGAAAAGGA